rnacentral:rRNA from 1 species
UGAAGCGGCAAAAGCUCAAAUUUGAAAUCUGAGGCUUUCAGCCCCCGAGUUGUAAUUUGAAGAUGGUGUUCUGGCGCCGGCGCCCUGUCUACGUUCCUUGGAACAGGACAUCGCAGAGGGUGAGAAUCCCGUCUGGCGGGGCGGCCUGGCUCCGUGUAGAGCGCCAUCGACGAGUCGAGUUGUUUGGGAAUGCAGCUCUAAGUGGGUGGUAAAUUCCAUCUAAAGCUAAAUAUUGGCGAGAGACCGAUAGCGAACAAGUACAGUGAUGGAAAGAUGAAAAGAACUUUGAAAAGAGAGUGAAAAAGUACGUGAAAUUGUUGAAAGGGAAGGGUAUUGGAUCAGACUUGGUGCUGUGCGAAUAGCGGCCCUUCUUGGGCUGCCCACUCGCACUCCACCGGGCCAGCAUCGGUUUGGGCGGCAAGACAAUGGCGGGGGAACGUGGCACUGCUCUCGGGCAGUGUGUUUAUAGCCCCCGCUGAUGUUGCCUGCCUAGACCGAGGACUGCGGCUUCUGCCUAGGAUGCUGGCGUAAUGAUCCAACACCGCCCGUCUUGAAACAUGGACCAAGGAGUCUAACGUCUAUGCGAGUGUUUGGGUGUAAAACCCGUACGCGUAAU